AAAUGAAAAGAGCGACAACUGCUCAUCAGAACGUCACAUAAACGAAGCUUCUUGUGAAACGCUAACAGAAGCUGAGGCAAUUGAGGCUCAAAAAAGGCGGCUUGCUGACAAUUUUACUGCGACCUAUACAUUCAGUAAUGCAGAUUUUUCAGAUAGCGGCGUCUACACCUGUCUUUUGGCAACUAUCGGGGAU